UGUCCAGCAGCUCCCAUCCGUACCUCCUCGCGGUACCGGCCGGAAACUAUGAGCAACCUUAGGAAAGAUUGGGUAACCAACCCCGGUGGGAAAUUUGAUCGUAGGCUGACAGGGAAGG
rnacentral:ribozyme from 1 species